rnacentral:rRNA from 1 species
UACAGAGGGCCCGAGCGUUGUUCGGAUUCACUGGGCGUAAAGGGUGCGUAGGUGGUUAGGUAAGUCCGAUGUGAAAUCUCCAGGCUCAACCUGGAAAUGGCAUUGGAUACUAUUUAGCUUGAGGAGUGGAGGGGGGACUGGAAUUCUCGGUGUAGCAGUGAAAUUCGUAGAUAUCGGGAGGAACACCAGUGGCGAAGGCGGCGAUCUGGGAAGAUACUGACGCUGAGGUGCGAAAGCGUGGGGAGCAAACAGG